rnacentral:rRNA from 1 species
AUGUCUGGCAAAUAUGAUGUUUGGGAGAAUAAGCUACAGAAUCCAAAUGCAACACCAAUAUCUCUUCCACUAGAAUUUUUAAAAGCCAUAACACAUGAUUUUUCCGCUGAGUCGGAACUCGGCGAAGGUGGCUAUGGGGUGGUUUACAAGGGAGUUCUUCAGAGUGGGAAAAUUAUUGCUGUGAAGAAGCUUUUUGAAAUACGUCUAAAAGAUGAAACAUUCCAGAAUGAGGUCAGAUAUCUUAUGGGGAUCAAGCACCAACACAUAGUUCAACUUGUCGGUUACUGUGCUGAAUCAACAUGGGAAGCAAUAGAGCAACCAAGUGGGAGUGGGAAUCAUAUUUUUGCUGAAAUACCGAAACGGUUACUCUGCUUCGAGUAUGUAUGCAACAAAGGCCUUGACAAGUAUAUUUCAGAUGAAUCUUUGGGGCUCGAAUGGAACAUGAGAUACAAGAUAAUUAAGGGAAUUUGCAGUGGUUUGUAUUUCCUUCAUGAGGAAUGCCGCAUUGUUCAUCUGGACCUUAAGCCUGAAAAUAUAUUGAUGGAUGCUGCAAUGAUACCGAAAAUCGCGGAUUUCGGUUUAUCGAGGAUUUUUGGCAAGCAGCAAUCUCGAAUUAUCACUGAUAGUCGUGCCGGGACACGUGGAUAUAUGGCACCAGAAUACCAAUUCCAGGGGGUAGUCUCCAUCAAGGCAGAUAUCUUCAGUUUUGGCGUUAUAAUCAUUGAGAUAAUGGCAGGUCGGAGGGACUAUCCAUUUUUCCAGCAAGGCAGUCCUAAGAGUGUAGAUACAUCUUUCCAAUACUUCAAAGAGAAAGUGCUUAGAAUUUGGAGGAACAAAUUUUUAGCCACAUCGAAGUUUACAUCAGUGGCAAAAUAUAUGCAACAAGUAGAACAAUGCAUAACCAUAUCCCUAAAAUGUGUGGAUCCUGACACGGCGAAAAGACCUACUGCAAAGGAUAUAAUCAAAAUGCUUUAUGCAGCAGACCAGUUUCUUGACAUCCACCCGCUGGAGCUCCAGUUCCCCUUCGAAUCCAACAAGUUGAUGACAUGCUCACUGCACCUGACAAACAACACAGAUGAAAACGUGGUGUUUAGACUGAUGGAGAAGAGACAUAACUUCUUUUGCCUGCCUCAGUAUGGUGUCGUGCCCCCGAGGUCCACUUACAUUCUUGUUGUUACAGCGGAUAAAAAGGAUAACCUUCCAAAAGAAAGAGACACUGAUUUAAUUCUGCAUCACAGUACAAGUGCUAAAUAUAUCAAGCCCUUCCGACGCUUGUAUGAUUGUGACCAAUAUCUUGAGGAAACUGAGGAGUUGGGGAAUGUGGUGCAGAAGUUGACACUGAAAGCUGUUUAUGCUAUGGAUGGAGAGCCGACAUGUGAGAUAGACCCACCUUUAAUAAAGAUCAUAUCCGUGGAGGAGACUGAUGUGAAGUUGUAUGCCCUAGAAGCAAACCAGAUAGAGCCAUGGAUUAUAACAGGUCAUGCAGACGGGUGUGUUGAUAUAUGGAACUGUAACACACAGAAAUCAAUGAGGUUGAUCAACGUCUCUCGGGCCAUAGUUUGUUCCGUUAAAUUUAUUGAAAGAAAGUGCUGGUUUCUGGCUGGAUCAACGGAUGGUCUGAUUAGUGUGUACAAAUACAACCGUACUACAAAAGUGCAAGCAACCACCCGUUUCAUAGCUCAUGAAGACUCGUACAGUAUCAGAUCACUGGCCGUUCAUGCAACGCAGCCCUAUGUGCUGUCAUCAUGUGGUACGCACAUAAAGCUUUGGGACUGGGACCAGAACUGGAAGUGCAGACAAACAUUCGAGGCACAGUCCACGGUAAAUCAAGUCGCAUUUAACCCGAAGGACGCCAACAGUUUUGCAAGUGCUUCGGACGAUCACACAGUAAAGAUUUGGAGUAUUGAUUCUUCAGAACCUAAGUAUACUCUCUCUGGUCAUUUGGGUGGAGUGAACUGCCUCAAUUUCUUCACAAGCAACGAUCAACAGUAUUUGAUUACUGGUUCGGAUGAUAAGACUGCUAAGAUAUGGGACAUGCAGAAAAGGAUGUGCGUCGAUACCCUGAAGGCUUUUAUGUCUCCAGUUAUUUCUUCCAUUUCCCAUCCCUGUCUUCCAUUUUUAAUUACAGGUACAAGGGAUGGUGCUAUUCAUUUGUGGAACUCCACUACUUUCAGGCUUGAGAGAAUCCUUAACAUUGGCUGCCAUCGAGAAGUUCGUGGUCUUGUCGCUUUGGUGGGGUCAAGAAGGGUUAUGAUUGGGCAUGAUUCGGCAGUAUCGAUGUUGGAGAUCCAUGAUGAAGUACCAGUUGAUACCAAGGGCAAAAUGAAAGUGCCAAAUGUCAGUGACAAGAACUGA